GACGUAGGAGGCGAGCGUUGUCCGGAGUUACUGGGCGUAAAGCGCGCGCAGGCGGUCACGCAGGUCAUCUGUUAAAGCACCCGGCUCAACCGGGUUGUUGCGGGUGAAACCGCGUGACUUGAGGGUGGGAGAGGUCGGUGGAAUUCCCGGUGUAGUGGUGGAAAUGCGUAGAGAUCGGGAGGAACACCAGUGGCGAAGGCGGCUUCCUGGACGACCAACUGACGCCUGAGACGCGAAAGCGUGGGGAGCAAACAGGAUUGAGAA
rnacentral:rRNA from 1 species